ACGUAGGGGGCAAGCGUUAUCCGGAUUUACUGGGUGUAAAGGGAGCGUAGACGGCACAGCAAGCCUGGUGUGAAAAGCAGCGGCUCAACCUCUGAACUGCUGUUGGAACUGCUGGGCUUGAGUACUGGAGAGGCAGGCGGAAUUCCUGGUGUAGCGGUGAAAUGCGUAGAUAUCACGAGGAACACCGGUGGCGAAGGCGGCUUGCUGGACAGCAACUGACGUUGAGGCUCGAAAGCGAGGGGAGCAAACAG
rnacentral:rRNA from 1 species